GCGUUCUUGGUCUAAUGGUUAGGAUUGCUGCCUUCCAAGCAGCAGGUUCGGGUUCAAUUCCCGGAGGACGCA